rnacentral:rRNA from 1 species
UACGGAGGGGGGCCAGCGUUGUUCGGAAUUAUUGGGCGUAAAGGGCGCGUAGGCGGGCGGCCGCGUCCGGGGUGAAAUGCCACGGCUCAACCGUGGAACGGCCUCGGAUACGGGCGGCCUCGAGGGGGGUAGGGGCAUCUGGAACUGUGAGUGGAGCGGUGAAAUGCGUUGAUAUUCACAGGAACUCCGGUGGCGAAGGCGAGGUGCUGGACCCCUUCUGACGCUGAGGCGCGAAAGCCAGGGGAGCGAACGGG